GAGGAACCUUGAGGAAGAGAGGAUCAUGAAGAAAUAGGAUUCUGGAGCGAGAGAAUCGCUGCUACGAGAAGCAUAUGCUACCUUUGGACAUUAUCAGCUGAGAACUGCACUGAGGAGAAAAAAAAAAGUAAGAUCCUGAACCUUGUCUCAAUUCAUCACAAAAAAUCAAUAAUCCAACAGCAGCUUUGAGAUCACUGUAAACUUUACACAGAAGCUGAUUAGAAGUGAAAUUGGUAUAGUUAAAAUGAAACCAAAUAAGAUGCCUUGUACUGUGGUAUUUUAGCAGAAUAGGAAAAGAACUAUUAUUUUCCUCCUUGUGGAAUAAACAGAAUGCAUAAUAAGCACUUGCAGCACUGCAUGGAAUCGAUUUAACUGGAGAACAAAUACAUUUAUUACUCACUUGUGGCUUUGACUUCAGCUGAAUUAAGAGGUGUUCUCAUUACUUGUGGAAUGCGAUUGCUGUUCUAUAAGUGCCUAGGCACCCUAAUGCUAAGCUCUGAACUUCAUGAAAGAAAUUCUAUUAAUUCUAACUAUAGGCUUACUCAUUAGAAAUAAGUAUAUAAAACAAUACAGCUCAUGAUUAUUUGGCGUGUUCAGCAUACACUGAGAAAAAAAUCUUAUCAGCAGUAAAAGAGCAGUAAGGUAUUUUCGCAACACAUCUAUAUUAAAUUUAACCUUAACAGAAAAGCAGCAUUACUUAAUAAUCCCAUGUUGACCGCUGAUGAAGAACCUUAUAUCUUACCAUUUAUCAUGUCCUAUGGCCUCACAAUCAAAAAAUUUCAGAAUGUGGUCAUUUUUAGUUUACAUUUUACAUUGCUAUCAGACACAGGUUUUCUCAGCAUGUGUUCUGAGACAACCAAACCUGUGAGGACAGCUAAGCCUGAUGCAAACCAGAAUAAUUCUCUCAGUGAUGAUAUUUCAGAGGAUUAUAGUCUGUGUUUGAUAUAGUACUACUACUACUCUUCGACUAAGAACAAACUUGUAUCCUUUUUGCUCAGAAUACCGACAGAUGUAGCUGAGUUUUACCAGGGAUGUCUUACAAAGUAGUGCCCUAAACACAGGGAAAUCUCUGACUUGGCUAUUCCUAAAGUGUAAAUACUUGAGAAUAAUUUUUUCUGUUUGCAAGCAGCCCACAAGUGGGGUAUUAUUGGAUCUAAUGAUGCCUCCCAGACUUACUGUGCAGAGAUCUCUCUUUGCUAGGAAGUACAACUCUGGUGCUCAGCCUUCACAUCAGGAAAGAAGAGCAUGCACAGUAGGAUUUCUCCCAGCAUCUCUUGACAAAGACUACAAAUAUUCAAUAUCUAAGAUUAUAAAAAUGGAGGCAAUGGAGAUGAUCAGUAAUAGGUUCUUCACUGUAACUAAUCUAGCUGUUCCCCUAAUUGAAGCACUUCACUUAGUUGAGGGGUGUUGAAUAAAGACCAAAAGUAUUUUACUAAAAAUUGAUUUAUUUUCUCUCACUUGUAACUAAAGUUAAGCAUGUAGAACCUUGUUAAAUAACUUUCUGGAACUGUAUUUAGAUAAAUGACCACUGCAUCCUGGAUUUUCAGCUGAGUGUCAAUAACAAAUCCAGAGGGAGGAAACAAAAAUAAAAAACAAAACAAAUAAAAAACCCAACCAAAACAACAACAAAAAACCCCCCACAAACAGCAGUAACAACAGGAACUACACAAUUAGAGGUAAUCAGAACCACACACUUGACUGAAGAUAACCAAGCAACUAAUUUUAAGUUAACUUUGGCUACCUGAGAAAUAUUUGUGAAAAAGAUAUUGAGAAAGCCUACCCAUUUUUAAUGCAAUAUUGAAGAAUCAAAUGGAAAAUUUGGGAGAAAAAAAUCUUGCUAAGUGAACUAUUUCUCUUUAAUUUCAGUUAUAGCACAAUUUAAAGAAAUAAACUAUGGCAGAUAUACAUGGUCAUGUAGGUCUGGAUCUGUAUGAUAAAUAUUCAGAGGCAUACAUAUGAUAUUUAUAUAUGAGUGUAAAUAUAUCAUUUCAGCUGAUGGGGGCAUAUAUGCAGUAAUGCCAGUUGAAUCUGGAAAAAAUUCUG